CAGUCGCCGCGGUAAAACGGAGGGUGCAAGCGUUAUCCGGAUUUAUUGGGUUUAAAGGGUCCGUAGGCGGACUUAUAAGUCAGUGGUGAAAGCCUGUCGCUUAACGAUAGAACUGCAAUUGAUACUGUAAGUCUUGAGUAUAUUUGAGGUAGCUGGAAUAAGUAGUGUAGCGGUGAAAUGCAUAGAUAUUACUUAGAACACAAAUUGCGAAGGCAGGUUACCAAGAUAUAACUGACGCUGAGGGACGAAAGCGUGGGUAGCGAACAGGAUUAGAUACCCGCGUAGUCCCUGUCUCUUAUAC
rnacentral:rRNA from 1 species